GUAAGCUGUUCUGUCCAUCAAUGCACAACAGUGGGUGAUAUAGAUUGUAAGCUGUUCUGUCCAACAAUGUGCAGCAGUGGGCUGUCUAGAUUGUAAGCUCUUCUGUCCAACGAUGCGCAGCAGUGGGCUGUCUAGAUUGUAAGCUGUUCUGUCCAUCGAUGUGCAGCAGUGGGCGAUCUAGAUUGUAAGCUGGUCUGUCUACAACAGUGAGCUCUCUAGAUUGUAAGCUGUUCUGUCCAUCGAUGUGCAGCAGUGGGCUGUCUGAUUGUAAGCUGUUCUGUCCUUCAAUGCACAACAGUGGGCAAUCUAGAUUGUAAGCUGUUCUGUCCAUCGAUGUGCAGCAGUGGGCUGAUUAGAUUGUAAGCUGUUCUGUCCAACGAUGUGCAGCAGUGGGCUGAUUAGAUUGUAAGCUGUUCUGUCCAACGAUGUGCAGCAGUGGGCUGCCUUGAUUGUAAGCUGUUCUGUCCAACAAUGCACAACAGUGGGCGAUAUAGAUUGUAAGCUGUUCUGUCCAUCAAUGCACAACAGUGGGCGAUCUAGAUUGUAAGCUGUUCUGUCCAUCAGUGUACAACAUUGGGCAGUCUAGAUUGUAAGCUGUUCUGUCCAACAAUGUGCAGCAGUGGGCGAUCUAGAUUGUAAGCUGUUCUGUCCAACAAUGUGCAGCAGUAGGCUGUCUAGAUUGUAAGCUGUUCUGUCCAACAAUGUGCAGCAGUGGGCGAUCUAGAUUGUAAGCUGUUCUGUCCAACGAUGUGCAGUAGUGGGCUGCCUUGAUUGUAAGCUGUUCUGUCCAUCAAUGCACAAGAGUGGGCAAAAUAGAUUGUAAGCUGUUCUGUCCAAUGUACAACAGUGAGCUGUCUAGAUUGUAAGCUGUUCUGUCCAUCAAUGCACAACAGUGCGCGAUCUAGAUUGUAAGCUGUUCUGUCCAUCAAUAUACAACAGUGAGCUGCCUAGAUUAUCAGCUGUUCUGUCCAUCGAUGUGCAGCAGUGGGCUGUCUUGAUUGUAAGCUGUUCUGUCCAUCAGUGCACCACAGUGGGCGAUCUAGAUUGUAAGCUGUUCUGUCCAUCGAUGUGCAGCAGUGGGCUGCCUUGAUUGUAAGCUGUUCUGUCCAUCGAUGUGCAGCAGUGGGCUGCCUUGAUUGUAAGCUGUUCUGUCCAUCAGUGCACAACAGUGGGCGAUCUAGAUUGUAAGCUGUUCUGUUCAUCAAUUUGCAACACCAGGCGGUCCCAGCCCAUAGGCGCUGCUAUUACCCACAGGAACUUUUAGAUAUGACGAGGCUGGUGUUUGUGUGCUGUUCUGUCCAUCAAUGUGCAAGAGCGUGCAACGCUGCGCUCGUUACGUUCCUUGCGACAAUGCUCUGUCAUGCUAAUAAUGUGCAUGCCGUUUGUGACUUUAAAGUGCCGGGCUCACAGCGUUAAAGAAAGGAAAUGCGGACAAGACAGUUGACGAUUAUUGUUCUGUGGCAAAUAUACACCCCAAAGGGUGCAACUGUUUUUAGAGUCUAGAUAUGACAAAGCUGGUGUCUGUACACUGUUCUGUGCAUAAAUGUGCAACAGUAGGCGGUCUUGAUUGUAAGCUGUUCUGUCCAUCAAUGUGCAAUAGUGAGCGGUCCCAGCCCGUAGGCGGUGCAAUCUCCGGAGGGAGCUGCUACACUCUUAGACAAACUUACACCCUUUGGGGUGUAUCUCUGCUACACAACAAUAAUCAUCUUCCUUGCUUGCAUUUCCUUUCUUGAAAACGCCGCGCCCGCUACUUUCCUGUCGGGAAUGCUAUGUCGUGCUGAUAACGCAUAUGCUGUUCGUUACUGGGAAGUACGGCCUUGCAGCGAUAAAGAAAGGAAAUGCGAACAAGAGAGAUGGCGGUUACUGUUGUGUGGCAAAUAUACACAUCAAAUGGUGCAGCUGUUUUUAGACUGUAGAUAUGACGAAGCUAGUGUUUGUAUGCUGUUCUGUCCAUAAAUGUGCAACAGGUCCCACUCCGUGGGUGCUGCUAUCACCAAAAAGGCAUGCUCGACAUUACAAGGGUCGCCCUUGAUUGUAAGCUGUUCUGCCCAUCAAUUUGCCACACCGGGCAGUCCCAGCUCGUAGGCGCUGCCAUUACCCAAGGGAGCUCUUAGAUGUGACGAGGCUGGUGUUUGUGUGCUGUUCUGUCCAUCAAUGUGCAACAGUGGGUGGUCCCAUCCUGUGAGUGCUGCAAUUUCCGAAGAGAACUGCUAGAUGUGACGGUCACCCUUGAUUGUAAGCUGUUUGCCCAUCAAUUUGUAACACCGAAUGGCCUUAACCUAUGGCGCUGCUGCCACCGAAGAGAGCUGCUAGACAUACAUGAUGAAGCUGGGGUAUGUAAGCUGUUCUGCCCAUCAAACGUCCCUUCUUAGUUCCCCUGAUCUCAACAGUGUAUUCGUGUCUGUGACCACUGGAACCGAUCCUUCAGGAUGACUAGUAAAUUGUGUAGCAUACCCGGGAUCUCUUCUGUUCUGCAUCUGAAGCUAUGGACGAGACUUCACCCAGCGUGUGGCGACUUCCUUAUGGACCGAUGUACCUGUGAACUCUGGGUUAAUUUUUGUCUCUGGGACUGUUCAAGCAAGUCCACAGAAAUGCCCCACUAAAUUUCUUAGUACACGUGAACUGCUAUGUAGCUGUCUUCGACCACUGAGCUAGCCUGCAGUGAGCCUUAGUGAAAUGUUUAGUCGCCAAGAUACUUGCAAUCUUUUCAGAAGUAUUUGUAUCUGCUGCCAUGGAAGAACAGCCACGCUCUGCCUAUGGUAACUCCCAGUUAGCCUGUCUGAUACCGGUGAAUUUUUAGGAUGAAACUGUGCUUGUGUGUGGCCGCUGAAGCAAGCCCACACAAAUCCUCUGUUAGCUUUUGGUACAGGUGAACUCAUAAUGCAUCUUUCUGUCUAUGACUGCUGAAGUGAGCAUGCUGCAAGCUUUUGUGUAGUCGCCAAGGUACCUGUGAUGACUUCAGCAAUAUUUGGCUAUGACCACGGAAAGGUCACAUUCAGCUUAUGUUUACUUGCUUAGAAGCCUUCAAGCCUGUGAACACUCAUGGUGAAUUUGUGUUUGUGACCACUCAAGUACAGCAAGUGUCUUGUAACUUCUAGUACCUGUGAAAUCAGUUUGGUAUUGUGUUGAAGCAAGUGUCUUGUAACUGCUUCUGUAUCUCUGAACUCUCCAGUAAUGUUCGUGUUGGCAACUGCUAAGUGAUCCUUCAGUAAUUUUUUUAAUGCCCAGUGUGUGUAUAAAAUAUUUAGUACUCUUAUAGUGCGCGACCACUGAAGCAGGCCUGCAGAAAGUCUGGAGUAGCUUCCUUUAUGGCUAAGACACCUGUGAACUAUCCAGCAAAUAUCGCAUUUAUGUGCUUGCGACCGUUGAAGCGAGCCAGCCCACAGUACCCCUCCUACUAACUUCCUUUGUACCCCACCCUUGCAGAGAGCUUUUAAAGUUCCUUUACUGGCCGAGGUGCACCUGCAAAUUAUUAGCUCAACUGAAAUGGUCUCGUCACUACACGAAAGUGUUUGUUUGCUCUGGUGACCUUUACCAGAACUUCUGGAUGCUAGCGCAUUUGCUCUAUAAAUGGAUGAUCAAACAGCAGCUGUCUGUGUAUAUAUGAUCACUGAACUAGUUUCAUGUAAAUUUGUUAAUGCCUAAUGUAGUUGUGACAUCUUUAGCAUAACUUCUGUUGGUGUAACUACUGAAUAUGGCCUAGGGAGAGGCUGUGGCAACCUAAAGUGGCUAACGUAUCUGAACUGUUCAGCAAAUUUUGCAUUGAUGUGCCUUCGACCACGGAAGUGAGCCCACAGCAAGCCUCAUGAUAAGUUCCGUAGUGGCCCCAUUGCAAAUUCUUAAAUGUUCUUGCUACCCAAAGUGCAUUUGUAAACAGUUUCAGUCAUGUGCACUUUUACUAACCAUGGUGCGGUAUAAAUAACUCCUAAUGGCUGAGCUUGUAUGAUGAAAUUAUUGAGUUUUAUUUAUUUGCAUUCAUGGGCUUUACUGAAAAGUGCUGAGUGCAUUUCAGAGUAGAACUAGUGAUCUUCCUGCAACUGUUCUAUUGAAAUAAAUGCUGUAUUUUUAAUGA